AUAGUUACAAUGUUACAUAGCUGAAAAGAGACUUGCGUCCAUCAAGUUCAGCCUUCCUCACAUUUGUUUUUUGCUGUUGAUCCAAAAGAAGACAAAAAAACCCAGUUUGAAGCACAAUUUUGCAACAAGCUAGGAAAAAAAUUCCUUCUUGACCCCAGAAUGGCAGUCAGAUUUAUCCUUGGAUCAAGCAGUUAUUACCCUACAUUGAAAAAUUAUAUCAUUGAAUAUUCUGUUCUUGCAAGUAUGCAUCUAGUAGCCGUUUGAACAUCUGUAUGGACUCUGAUAAAACCACUUCUUCAGGCAGAGAAUUCCACAUCCUGAU